CUCUUAUGAAGUUAGCGGCGGACGGGUGAGUAACACGUGGGUAACCUGCCCAUAAGACUGGGAUAACUCCGGGAAACCGGGGCUAAUACCGGAUAACAUUUUGAACCGCAUGGUUCGAAAUUGAAAGGCGGCUUCGGCUGUCACUUAUGGAUGGACCCGCGUCGCAUUAGCUAGUUGGUGAGGUAACGGCUCACCAAGGCAACGAUGCGUAGCCGACCUGAGAGGGUGAUCGGCCACACUGGGACUGAGACACGGCCCAGACUCCUACGGGAGGCAGCAGUAGGGAAUCUUCCGCAAUGGACGAAAGUCUGACGGAGCAACGCCGCGUGAGUGAUGAAGGCUUUCGGGUCGUAAAACUCUGUUGUUAGGGAAGAACAAGUGCUAGUUGAAUAAGCUGGCACCUUGACGGUACCUAACCAGAAAGCCACGGCUAACUACGUGCCAGCAGCCGCGGUAAUACGUAGGUGGCAAGCGUUAUCCGGAAUUAUUGGGCGUAAAGCGCGCGCAGGUGGUUUCUUAAGUCUGAUGUGAAAG
rnacentral:rRNA from 1 species